AGAUGAGAUGUAUACAUUCUAUAUAUAAACUCUUUUUUGUUCUUGACAAAUGGAGAGUUAGAUGCAACAACAACUCUUUCUAUCAAAAUACACAAAGAAAAAUGACUAAAUGGGUAAAAACAAUCACCACUCCAUUUAGAAAAGCUAGAACAUUUUUCAAUAAUAAUCAACAAUCACCAAGGGAUUCACCAAGGGAAAAGAAGUCACAAGAAGAAGAUCAAGAUAAACAUGUAGUAGAUUUGCAGGGUGAAGUAAUGGCUUGUGGAUAUGAAGAUGUUCAAGUGAUGUGGUCAAUUUUGGACAAAUCCAAAGCCAUCAAAACAUAAAUAGUUUGUUUUGUUUGGAACUAAAUCCAAGGCACAUAUUGUACAUAUUUUUUAUCAUUAUCUUGUUCAUGUGGUGGCUAAACUGACGCCCAAAAUGCAAGAUUUUGAAAAUUUUGAUGAUGUUCUAUACAUAGCCCCUCCCCUCCCCACACACCCCACCCCCUAAAAAAAAAAGAAAGAAGAAAAAGCACAUAGUAACAAGAAUUAUUUUUGCUAUUUGGCUAAUUUCCAUGAUCAAUGAAAAGCAUGGAAAGAUGCCUGUAUUUGAUUUGCAUUUAUUUCUAGAUUCAGUAAUCAAAUAUACAUUCAUUUUAUGUAGUCUCUGCACACCUCCGUUACCUUUUAGGAGGCGUAUGUUCCGUAAAAAUUGUCUAUUUGAAUGUGUUGCUUAGUGCGCUUUAAGUGCUGAGCGUGAAAGGUUUCUCUUUCCUUUCGAUUUGUUCACUGAUCUGAAAUUUAGCAUUUGUUUUCUUAUUGAUUUUUGGAGUGGUGACAUUUUUGCAUGAAGUCUAUCCAGAUCGAAUUAGCACUUCUCUUAUCAGGUUAGGCCUUUUCAACCGAGCUGCAUACCGGGCCCUGGAUAUGCCUGUGGCUGACAUAUAGAUCAGGCUAGGCCUCUUCAGCUGAACUGGACAUCGAGGCCCUAGAUACGCUUGCGGCUAACACAUGGGGAAUGCUUGCCCCACUUUGCAGUAUUAUUAUGAAAUUAUGUGACUAGAAAUCACACCUAUGAUCAAAGUUAUGUACUCUAUAUAACAUAGGACUCAUCCACACAAGUAAUGGUAAUCCAUAUUAAACAAAAUAAUUCCACAAAGUGAC